GACGUAGGGCGCGAGCGUUGUCCGGAUUUAUUGGGCGUAAAGAGCUCGUAGGCGGCUUGUCGCGUCGACCGUGAAAACUUGGGGCUCAACCCCAAGCCUGCGGUCGAUACGGGCAGGCUAGAGUUCGGUAGGGGAGACUGGAAUUCCUGGUGUAGCGGUGAAAUGCGUAGAUAUCUGGAGGAACACCGGUGGCGAAGGCGGCGUUCUGGACUGCAACUGACACUGAUGAACGAAAGCCAGGGGAGCAAACGGG
rnacentral:rRNA from 1 species